CAUUUCAGAAAGAUCCAGAUUACCUGAGACUGUGGUUGGACAAUUUUGUUUUAAGUUAUGAACAGUUUUUAGAUGUUGACUUUGAAAAGCUGCCUACAAGGGUAGAUGAUAUGCCUCCAGGAAUAUCUCUGCUUCCUGAUAAUAUUCUGCAGGUUCUGAGGAUCCAGCUGCUACAUUGUGUUCAGAAAACAGCAGAUGGAUUAGAGGAACAGCAGCAAGCAUUGUCAAUUCUGCUUGUCAAAUUCUUCAUUAUUCUUUGCAGGUAUCUGAUAUAAAGUAAAAUUUCAGCACAGUUAUUUCCAAAAUAAUAAUAGUAAUACUUGCUAGUGAUAUUUGUUUGUAUGGCUCUUUAAGAAUGUGUAUAUCUUUUAUAGCAUGAUUGUUUUACACACUGAAAAGCUUCGUAAUUACUGUACCUAACUGUAGAGAUACUCAGGCAAGAAUUUUAAAUGUGUGCUAUCAAGAUGGCUCAGUGGGUAAAGGCACCUGCAACCAAACCUGGUGACCUGAGUUGAGUCUUCUGGACCCGUAUGGUGGAAAGAGAACCGGCUCCCUACAGUUUUGUCCUUUAUGGCACACAAGGACCAGUACAAUGUACAUGUAUACACAAAAAUAAAUCUUGAGAAGUGUAGUAAAAUCAUUGUUU
rnacentral:lncRNA from 1 species